rnacentral:tRNA from 1 species
CAGAGCGUAGCUUAAUAGCAUAGCAUCUCCCUUACACCGAGAAGACGCCCGUGCAAAUCGGGUCGCACUGA